UACAGAGGGUGCGAGCGUUAAUCAGAAUUACUGGGCGUAAAGCGCGCGCAGGCGGUCGGCCAAGUCCGGCGUGAAAUAUCCCGGAUCAACCGGGAGGGGUCGUUGGAAACCGGUCGCCUGGAGGACGGGAGAGGAGCAUGGAAUUCCCGGUGUAGUGGUGAAAUGCGUAGAGAUCGGGAGGAACACCAGUGGCGAAGGCGGUGCUCUGGCCCGCCCCUGACGCUGAGGCGCUAAAGCGUGGGGAGCAAACAGG
rnacentral:rRNA from 1 species